CGACCCCCCCCCUUUUUUUUUUUUUUUUUUUUCUUCCUUCUUUUGCUUGUAUUUAGAAAGCUGCCAAAAGCAAUAGUUAUGGUUUACCACAGAUUAAGGACUUUGUUUUGUUUUGAACAAAUGGUGAUCGGAGGUCUAAACCACCCAUGGUACAUCAAAGAAUUAAUUUUCAUUCUUUCUCUGCGUUGUCCUGCCCAGUACGUUCCUGACAAAGCUGCAAGUGAAGAUGCAGUUGAAUAUAGCUCCAGGUUCACGAAGGGCUCGUCAGCGUGAUUAAGCAGUUGAAGAAUAUGAAGUAUGCUCCAAGCCUGCUCUGGAGCAUGAAGCACAGUGUUCUAUGUGGAGCUGAUCAACAGAUUUGCUUCAAAAGCACACUCGCAGUCUGAAGAAACCUUGAAGAGAAGGGAUAAGGCUUGACUUGUUCAAAGGAACAUUGCUAAGCCCGUCCAGCAUCCAUUCAUGAUUCGAAUGUCCAUGGCUUAAGAAUCCAGACGUUUGAGCUCAGUCUCUUCCUUAUUGAAUAUGGUUUUACUUGCUAGCUCUUUCUUUUCAGUAUCUAUCACAUCAUGUUGAAUACUCAGGACAAAGUAGAGGGAUUUUUUUCAACCUACAAAGACUGUGUAUUUCUUUCCUCAUUCUUAAAGCCACUACAGUGCGAGGGAAGACAUCUCGGCUCUCAAAGUUUUCAUCAAUUCUGAGCAAAGCCUAAUUGACUAGUGACUCUUCCCCCCAACAAAUUUGCUUCACUGUGGUGUACUUUAGAUACUGAAAUUUUAGAAAACAGUUCUGUAUAAUAGUGUGCUUGUUUUUUGUUCCUUUGGGUUUUUCUUUUGAAACAUGCUUAAGCUUAUAAGGGCAAUUUAUAAACUGUCCUUCCUGUAGAAGUACCCUAGGUCUUUUCAUAGUCAUGCAUCGUUGCAGAUACUAAAGGUUUAAGUCAAAUUGUGUCUUAUGUAUUGCUUGUGACAUAUGCUUUCUGGUACUUAGCCAACAUUGUGAUUUUCACUGGGUUAGGGGAAUUCUAAGUGACAGAAAUUUAAUAAAAAAAUUUUACUAGUGAUUCUUAAGAAGAGAAUGCAUCAUACACUUGUUCUCAGACUGGAAAUAUUUUAUACCAGAAACAAAAUAAACAAAUACAGCGGGGUUUUUGAUGAUUUUUUUUUUUUUAAUUAAAAUCGGAAGUUAGUAUUCAAAAUACAUUAGGAACACAUCUGUUCAGAUAAAAGAUGCACAUUUAUUUUCCCACUUUGGAACAGGAACUUUGCAGCUGCAGUAGUUCUUGUUUCCUUAUCCAAGCACACCAUAAAAUUUUGUAUGCAUGAUUGAGAAAUAGUGAUGUUUUUUACCCUGAACUGAAAAAGCAUAAGUCUGACUAUGGAAAAUGGGGCAGGGAGAAUUAAAAAGUAGCCUAUUCUUAAAGCUUUAGAGGUUAUCUUAAAGUACACCUUCAUGCUUAAGAUUUGAAAUAUGAGGACUUUUAAGGGCCAAGAAUACCUAGCAAAACAUGAAAUACCAUCUUUUCACAGAUACAUAUUUAUUCCUAUGAUGAUUGUGAGAGAACUGACUCUAAAGAAGGUAUUGUUUUAUGGCUAAAUAGUAUCCAUAUGUUUGUUAUACCAAAGACCAAAUACCUCGAUGGUUUUCUUCUUUUUGUUUUCAGGAAAUGUUAUCUAGGCACUGGUCAGAGGACUGGUGGUUGAAAGUGGUGAAUACAUAUUUUUAGACAGAAUGCAAAAUGGAGUGAAAGAAGCAGCAUGCUCAGUGUAGCCUAUUCAAGUGUAUACUGGGACUGUAGCAAUAUCCCCAUGAAAAACUUCAAUUAAACAAAAUUACUCCUUCUUGAUUCUAGAAUAAGAGGACUGGUGCUGAACCGGUAGGGUUAAGGGCUGAUAUCUCAUAGCUUUAUGUAGUUACCAGAAAUGGUAGCUAGUUAUGUGGAACUGGAGCUUUACCUCGAAAGAGGAAUUUUUCAUUGGUCUAUGCAGUUCUUCUGCCCACUGCAUAUCAUGUGUGUUUUCAUCUGAAUUUAUACAAAAUCUGUCUAGAAGUGUUAAGUUUAAACUUUAUUUCUCACUGAGCCAGCUGGCCUCAUAGCAACUUCAAACUAGUCAACUUUAGUGUCAGAAUUCCCAUUUAAAACAAGACAAAAAGCUUCUCUAAGUUGAUAUAGCAACAUGUUUAGUUGGUUACAAUAUAAAAACUUAAUUUGUAGUUAUUUGACUUACACUGUCUUUGGAGGUUGUGGCAUACAUCGUUACUCCGCGAGUCAUGCUAAGUUCCCCCCAAGUAAGCAUACAGAAAAACAAAGAUACUACACCAUUCCAGUUUUACAGCUGAUAAAGUGUCACUGUAUGAAUUAAUACUUUCAUAUCUUUGCUUUUUGAAGAGAGAAGAAUAUUGUGGAGCACCGCAAAGUAUUAACAAAACAGUUUGUACACCAUCAGUGGCUUUGUUAGCAGCUCAUGGAUUACAGCAUCUUUUAAGAGGUCACCAGUUUUGGUGUUAUUCUAUAAGUCAGUGGCCGUGAUGCAAAUACCAUAGCAUAGGAAAAUAGGAGAAUUGUAGUGCCAAGUGUGCUGAUUAUUUUUUUCUUUUGGAAUUGCACAAACAGUUCUCUUAUGUUGUAUAGUUUAUGUUGGUUGCACUUACUGUAGUAAUUAACGUUUUAA